AGUGAACGCUGGCGGCGUGCUUAAGACAUGCAAGUCGAACGGCAGUCUUUGGACUGUAGUGGCGCACGGGUGAGUAACGCGUAACUGACCUACCCCAAAGUCGCGGAUAACGAUUCGAAAGAAUCGCUAAAACGUGAUGUGCUGUCAGAUUGUGUUCUGCCAGUAAAGAUUGAUUGCUUUGGGAUGGGGUUGCGUUCCAUCAGCUAGUGGGUGGGGUAAAGGCCCACCAAGGCGACGACGGAUAGCCGGCCUGAGAGGGUGGCCGGCCACAGGGGCACUGGGACACGGGUCCCACUCCUACGGGAGGCAGCAGUUAGGAAUCUUCCACAAUGGGCGAAAGCCUGAUGGAGCGACGCCGCGUGAGGGAUGAAGGUCUUCGGAUCGUAAACCUCUGAAUCAGGGACGAAAGACACUUCGGUGGGAUGACGGUACCUGAGUAAUAGCACCGGCUAACUCCGUGCCAGCCGCCGCCGUAAUAC
rnacentral:rRNA from 1 species